rnacentral:rRNA from 1 species
UACGAAGGGGGCUAGCGUUGUUCGGAAUCACUGGGCGUAAAGCGCGCGUAGGCGGAUUGUUAAGUCAGGGGUGAAAUGCCGAGGCUCAACCUCGGAACUGCCUUUGAUACUGGCAAUCUUGAGUCCGGGAGAGGUGAGUGGAACUCCUAGUGUAGAGGUGAAAUUCGUAGAUAUUAGGAAGAACACCAGUGGCGAAGGCGGCUCACUGGCCCGGAACUGACACUGAUGUGCGAAAGCGUGGGGAGCAAACAGG